rnacentral:rRNA from 1 species
AUACGGAGGGUGCAAGCGUUAAUCGGAAUUACUGGGCGUAAAGCGCGCGUAGGCGGCUUUGUAAGUCGGAUGUGAAAGCCCAGGGCUCAACCCUGGAAUUGCAUUCGAUACUGCACGGCUAGAGUAUGGUAGAGGGAAGUGGAAUUUCCGGUGUAGCGGUGAAAUGCGUAGAUAUCGGAAGGAACACCAGUGGCGAAGGCGACUUCCUGGGCCAAUACUGACGCUGAGGUGCGAAAGCGUGGGGAGCAAACAGGAUUAGAAACCCCGGUAGUCC